AUCCACAGGUAGCAGACGACAAUACAAUUUAAAGUGGAAAUUUGCGACUUCUGGUGUGUCUGCUACUCGAUGUUGUGAUCUCAGUUACUUCCCCUGACGUUCAGUAUAUGAAAUGAGGGUCGAGUUUCAGGAUUUGAAAUUAAGAAAGAACGAAAGAUAUGAAAUGAGCACCGGCAAACUGAUCUUGGCAUGUUACAUCCUUAUCACAGAACUGGAACCUACUGAUUAUGAUGAGAAAUAUGGAACAUGGUAAAUUGAGCAGGUGAAGGAAUGAAGAAAACACCACCCUCUUUACAGUCAGCAAAAUAACUAUGUUUCCGGUUUGGAACUACUGCAUGCCGUUACAACAUAUGUGACAAAGAUAUUUUAAUCCACCUGAUACGAUUUGGUAUCUUUCUGAAAAUGUCAUGUUCAAAUUCUGAAUAGUGUUUUUUUCUGCCAAGUUUAAGAAAUAUAUUGCCAUGUAACUGUCUAAUAUUUAUGGCAAUUAUGAAGUAAUAGUAAGUUUUUGGCGAAGUAAUGAAAACCAGAAAAAGGUGUUUCCUCGAUUAGAUUUUCUACAUGAGCUUGAAAAAAUAACACCUUCAUGAAUGCCUUGAUGUGAACAGAAUAGAAGGGAUAUUUUAUUUGCUUUUUACAUAGUACAUCAUAUUUAACAUACUGUACCGUCAAUGAAUUGAAAUUGCAUAAAUUAGUAUAAUUGCAAUAAUGAAUAAUGCACUUUUUGAUCAGGAAUGCACAUUUAUUAAGACUUAAUAUAUAUG